ACGGAAGGCAGCAGUAGGGAAUCUUCGGCACUGGGGGCAACCCUGACCGAGCAACGCCGCGUGAGUGAAGAAGGUUUUCGGAUCGUAAAGCUCUGUUGUAAGAGAAGAACGUGUGUGAGAGUGGAAAGUUCACACAGUGUCGGUAACUUACCAGAAAGGGACGGCUAACUACGUGCCAGCAGCCGCGGUCAUACGUAGGUCCCGAGCGUUGUCCGGAUUUAUUGGGCGUAAAGCGAGCGCAGGCGGUUUAAUAAGUCUGAAGGUAAAAGCAAUGGCUUAAACAUUGUUCGCUUUGGAAACUGUUAGACUUGAGUGCAGAAGGGGAGAGUGGAAUUCCAUGUGGAGCGGUGAAAUGCGUAGAUAUAUGGAGGAACUACGGUGGCGAAAGCGGCCCUCUGGUCUGUAACUGACGCUGAGGCUCGAAAGCGUGGGGAGCAAACAGGAGUAGAUACCCUGGUA
rnacentral:rRNA from 1 species